CACACACAGACACAGACACCGCUACACAGCUGUGUUUGUAUUUCUUUCGUAUUAUACCUUAUACGGCUAUAUACGAUAUGUAAUUGAUUCUAAAUAGGGAAAUCUCACAAUUCGUCUCCCGUUCAACGGCGACCAAGAUCUCUCUUAUUCAUCAUCUCAUACAGAUCCAAAGAUUGAGAUAAGCUCAUUCCUCAUUUAUUACCCAAUUCCCUUAUUUAUCGAACGGAAUUAUAAAAGAGGCUGAAAUCUGUGUUCUCCACACGUCUUUGCUUAGGAAGAUUUUCUGAUUCAAGCAAUAGAGCCCAGCAUCAAUUGAGAGAUUGGAACGGGUAAGUCAAAUUUUGAUCUUUCAGUUUUCUUGAAUUCUCCCCUAUUUCGACGACAAAUGAGUGGUUGCAAUUAAAACUUUUGCUUCUUCGUUGUGGUUUGAGGAAAGAAUGAUUGAUUUGUGGGUUUGUGAUUUAAAAGAAAGCUUGAUGAUUUAAGGAGGUUUUGUGGUUUUACACUUUUAGUAAUUAUAAUUUCUCUUUAAUUUGUUCAUAUCAUAACCUUGUUAACUCAUUUGGGGUAUUAAUUUGGUUCAGAAUGUUUUCCCUCAUAAGCGAAGAUGCACUUUCUGUGAUGUGGAAAUAGCAAAAGAUUGGAGUGUGAUGUGGUACUGUUAUCAUGAGUUGUCUUAGAAUUGAUAAUUGGUAUGUCGUAGUGGAGUUUCAGGGGAAGUUAGAUUGAAAUCCAAAUGGGGUUAUUCAAGGCUAGGAAGGAGACAUAGGUACAGUUUCCAUGUACAUUGUGAGCUGGUAUUAGAAUGUUUGAAAUUUUUGAUUUUGUUGAGUGAAGGUUUAGUUUUCUUAGCAAUGGAUCAGCGUAAAAAGAGGGUAGUCAUGCCAACACAAGAUGGGUAUGGGUGCUUAUUUGGAACCGAUUAAGGGACGGAACUUCUACAUGAGGGGCUUCCUAGUGAACCGGUUCCUGUAGGAGCCUGUUUAUUGAACUGUUUCUAUUUACAGGAUCUCAAAGAGUCCUUAUUAGGGGACCUCAUUCAAGUGCAUUCUAUCCACAGGAUUUCGGAGAUUUCUUAGAGAUGGACCUCAUUCGAGUGCCUUAAAAUGAUUAUAUAUUCUGGUCCAGUAUAAACAUGCUUUGUUUAUUUAGGACUUGUUAAGAUAAGUUUAAUUUGUGACUUGAGAACUAAGCACUGUAAGUUGACUUUUUUCAAGAAUGGUGGAGUAUAAGCAGAAUUGGCAACUGUCUUACGGUCACAAUAGGAGUAGAAAGAAAAAAGAAAAAUGUGAGAGCCUACCUGGAAAAAAUAUUAUAUGUCUAUGACUAUAGCAAGGGAACACAUGAUUUAGGAUGAUGCAGAGAAAAUUAAAUCAGAUAAAA